GUUCCCCUGCGUUGUUCGUGAUGAGCCUAUUUGUUACGAACCUUUAAUGUUAAUUCGGGAACUUUCCCUUGCUGUGGUGAGCAUGCCUUUGCCUUCAUCCUUGAUGGAGGCUAGGGAAGCCUAAAGCAGCAAUAAGGUCCCCACCUAUAGGGUGCGGGUUCCAAACAUAACGUUCACACGGCAAAGGCAGGGGAUUC
rfam:Deltaproteobacteria bacterium RIFCSPLOWO2_02_FTLL_50_16 rifcsplowo2_02_scaffold_5416, whole genome shotgun sequence.